UACGGGGGGGGCAAGCGUUGUUCGGAAUUACUGGGCGUAAAGGGUGCGUAGGCGGCUUUCUAAGUUGGAUGUGAAAACUAUGGGCUCAACCCAUAGCCUGCAUCCAAAACUGGAGAGCUUGGGUUCUGGAGGGGAAGGCGGAAUUCCUGGUGUAGCGGUGAAAUGCGUAGAUAUCAGGAGGAACACCGGUGGCGAAGGCGGCUUUCUGGACAGUGACUGACGCUGAGACGCGAAAGCGUGGGGAGCAAACAGG
rnacentral:rRNA from 1 species